GACUGGAGGACCGAACCCACUCCCGUUGAAAAGGUAGGGGAUGACUUGUGGAUCGGAGUGAAAGGCUAAUCAAGCUCGGAGAUAGCUGGUUCUCCUCGAAAGCUAUUUAGGUAGCGCCUCAUGUAUCACUCUGGGGGGUAGAGCACUGUUUCGGCUAGGGGGUCAUCCCGACUUACCAAACCGAUGCAAACUCCGAAUACCCAGAAGUGCCGAGCAUGGGAGACACACGGCGGGUGCUAACGUCCGUCGUGAAAAGGGAAACAACCCAGACCGCCAGCUAAGGUCCCAAAGUUGUGGUUAAGUGGUAAACGAUGUGGGAAGGCUUAGACAGCUAGGAGGUUGGCUUAGAAGCAGCCAUCCUUUAAAGAAAGCGUAAUAGCUCACUAGUCGAGUCGGCCUGCGCGGAAGAUGUAACGGGGCUCAAACCACACACCGAAGCUGCGGGUGUCACGUAAGUGACGCGGUAGAGGAGCGUUCUGUAAGCCUGUGAAGGUGAGUUGAGAAGCUUGCUGGAGGUAUCAGAAGUGCGAAUGCUGACAUGAGUAACGACAAUGGGUGUGAAAAACACCCACGCCGAAAGACCAAGGGUUCCUGCGCAACGUUAAUCGACGCAGGGUUAGUCGGUUCCUAAGGCGAGGCUGAAAAGCGUAGUCGAUGGGAAACAGGUUAAUAUUCCUGUACUUCUGGUUACUGCGAUGGAGGGACGGAGAAGGCUAGGCCAGCUUGGCGUUGGUUGUCCAAGUUUAAGGUGGUAGGCUGAAAUCUUAGGUAAAUCCGGGGUUUCAAGGCCGAGAGCUGAUGACGAGUCGUCUUUUAGAUGACGAAGUGGUUGAUGCCAUGCUUCCAAGAAAAGCUUCUAAGCUUCAGGUAACCAGGAACCGUACCCCAAACCGACACAGGUGGUCGGGUAGAGAAUACCAAGGCGCUUGAGAGAACUCGGGUGAAGGAACUAGGCAAAAUGGCACCGUAACUUCGGGAGAAGGUGCGCCGGCUAGGGUGAAGGAUUUACUCCGUAAGCUCUGGCUGGUCGAAGAUACCAGGCCGCUGCGACUGUUUAUUAAAAACACAGCACUCUGCAAACACGAAAGUGGACGUAUAGGGUGUGACGCCUGCCCGGUGCCGGAAGGUUAAUUGAUGGGGUUAGCGCAAGCGAAGCUCUUGAUCGAAGCCCCGGUAAACGGCGGCCGUAACUAUAACGGUCCUAAGGUAGCGAAAUUCCUUGUCGGGUAAGUUCCGACCUGCACGAAUGGCGUAACGAUGGCGGCGCUGUCUCCACCC
rnacentral:rRNA from 1 species